rnacentral:rRNA from 1 species
AACGAACGCUGGCGGCAGGCUUAACACAUGCAAGUCGAGCGCCCCGCAAGGGGAGCGGCAGACGGGUGAGUAACGCGUGGGAACGUACCCUUAUCUUCGGGAUAGCCCCGGGAAACUGGAAUUAAUACCGAAUGUGCCCUUUGGGGGAAAGAUUUAUCGGAUAAGGAUCGGCCCGCGUUGGAUUGGCUAGUUGGUGGGGUAAAGGCCUACCAAGGCGACGAUCCAUAGCUGGUCUGAGAGGAUGAGCCGCCACAUUGGGACUGAGACACGGCCCAAACUCCUACGGGAGGCAGCAGUGGGGAAUAUUGGACAAUGGGCGCAAGCCUGAUCCAGCCAUGCCGCGUGAGUGAUGAAGGCCUUAGGGUUGUAAAGCUCUUUCACCGGAGAAGAUAAUGACGGUAUCCGGAGAAGAAGCCCCGGCUAACUUCGUG